rnacentral:rRNA from 1 species
AUUGAACGCUGGCGGCAGGCCUAACACAUGCAGGUCGAACGGUAACAGGAAGAAGCUUGCUUCUUUGCUGACGAGUGGCGGACGGGUGAGUAAUGUCUGGGAAACUGCCUGAUGGAGGGGGAUAACUACUGGAAACGGUAGCUAAUACCGCAUGACGUCGCAAGACCAAAAAGGGGGACCUUCGGGCCUCUUGCCAUCGGAUGUGCCCAGAUGGGAUUAGCUAGUAGGUGGGGUAACGGCUCACCUAGGCGACGAUCCCUAGCUGGUCUGAGAGGAUGACCAGCCACACUGGAACUGAGACACGGUCCAGACUCCUACGGGAGGCAGCAGUGGGGAAUAUUGCACAAUGGGCGCAAGCCUGAUGCAGCCAUGCCGCGUGUAUGAAGAAGGCCUUCGGGUUGUAAAGUACUUUCAGCGGGGAGGAAGGGAGUAAAGUUAAUACCUUUGCUCAUUGACGUUACCCGCAGAAGAAGCACCGGCUAACUCCGUG